rnacentral:misc_RNA from 1 species
GUCUGAGUUAUUUUUUGUUUCUUAGUGUUUCUUUUCUAUCAAGCAUAGACGCACUUUCUCAUUGCUGGAGACUUGAGUUUCUUGACGUUAGAUAUUAUGCACAUCUUCCUUACCUAAACCAAAACGGCAAAACGCUCAAUAAUGCAGUGCAAGUACUCUGCUGUUGAAAUAGAUGUAAUAGUGAUGAGAUAAAUGUUUAUUAAAUACAGUUGUAUACGCACGGAAAACGUUCAUAAAGUCCUUGUUAAUAGCCGAUUUCCGAGAUCUUAUCGUCUUUACUGCGGAGGUAGAAAAGUUGCUGUCACGUGAUCAUUUGUUAGGCAUAAAAAAUGGCAGAUCAGCAUCAUCACAUCGGUGCAAAAACCGUCCCAGAAUUACGCAUUUUUUUGAGAGAAAGGGGAAUCAGUUGUAAUGAAUAUAGAAAGUUCACGUUAGUCAGGUUGGCUCAAGUCGCACUAGAACUUCAGUUACCGAUCAUUGUCGCGAAAGACGACUACAAAGUCAUGAACUUGAAACGGCGCACCAUACGAAGUCUUGAUGGAGAAGAAAUUGUCGCCCCAGAUAUAACGACUAUUAUAAGUCGCUUUACAAAGAAUCUUAAAGAACUUCCUUGUCUGGAAAUAUGCGAUGUGUUGAUAUAUUUGCUGCGAUCUUCUGCCUGGUCAGAUAACAGAUUAAAGAAUUACAGACAAGACAACGGCUAUAAACUGUACAAAGAUGGACACAUUAGUAAUGUGCAGAUGUACAACAUUCCAAACUCAGAUUAUAAUUACGUUUCGGCCACAUGUGUUAGGGAAACAACUUUAAGCGAGAAACCGUAUAUUACAUGGAUAUUACAGAAAAAGGAUGGCCAAGUAAUUUCUGCUGGAUGUGCUUGUGUUGCGGAUGAUGGAACGUGUAAACACUGCACAGCUUUACUGUUUUCCUUGGCUGAUUUUUGCACUCGCCAUAUGGACAGGAACACACAAAAUGUCAUUUGUAUAGAUUGUGUAAAGGAUCAGAUUCUUUACUGCUUCAUGUUCUCGAGCCUCCCUCAGAUGACAGUGAUGAAGAAAUAAAGGAUGAGCAGCCACCAAAUAUGACAAACUAUAUGAGUGAAUUUAUAAGAGAGAAAGUUAAUACAGAUUUUCUUACCUUUUUGAAAAGCAAAUGCGAUAUAAAUUUAAUUAGUAAAAUUGAAGUAUUAACAAAAGGUCAAGGAAAUUGUACUGAGUGGUUCAAAUAUCGUGAAGGCAGAAUCACUGCCUCUCUUGCAUUUUCUGUGUGUCACUUUAGAGAUUCAAACAAAGAAGAUAAUUAUAUUGUAAAAAAAAUCAUGAACUCCAGCUCUGUGCCCCUUUCAACUCCUGCAAUUAAAUAUGGAAAAGAGCAUGAAGCAAUCGCUCGACUUUUAUACCAGGAAAAUUAUAAAAAAGAGCACAUAAAAGCCCAUAUUGUUGAAAGUGGAUUACAUGUGUCCAAGCAAUAUCCAUACAUGGGUGCCUCGCCAGAUGGACUUGUGCAAUGCAAAUGCUGCGGGAAUGGACUUCUAGAGAUUAAGUGCACAUAUACACACAAAGACUUAUCUCCAGAUGAAGUUGCUACAAGGGACAAAAAUUAUUUUGUUUAUAUGGACGACAACAACAAUGUUAAGUUGAAAACAAACACAUCUUGGUAUUACCAAAUUCAGACCCAGCUUGGUGUGUGUGACAGAAAAUGGUGUGACUUUGUCUUUUACACACAGAAAGGAAUAUCUGUCGACAGAAUUUCUUUUGACAAUACCUUAUUUGAAAUGAUUGUAUCAAAAUCAAAUUUCUUCUUCAACAAAUAUGUAAUUCCUGCUCUUAAAAAAAAUUACAAAUGAAAUAUUAAAACACAAUAACUUGU